rnacentral:rRNA from 1 species
UACAGAGGUGGCAAGCGUUGUUCGGAAUGACUGGGCGUAAAGGGCGCGUAGGCGGCCAUCUAAGUCAGACGUGAAAUCCCCAGGCUUAACCUGGGAACUGCGUCUGAUACUGGAUGGCUUGAAUUCGGGAGAGGGAUGCAGAAUUCCAGGUGUAGCGGUGAAAUGCGUAGAUAUCUGGAGGAAUACCGGUGGCGAAGGCAGGUCUCUGGGCUGACACUGACGCUCAUGCACGAAAGCGUGGGGAGCAAACAGG